rnacentral:tRNA from 1 species
GCGGGGGUACCCAAGUGGUCAAAGGGGCUAGGCUAAGGACCUAGUAGCUUAGUGCUUUCCUGGGUUCGAAUCCCAGCCCCCGCA